AUUGAACGCUGGCGGCAGGCCUAACACAUGCAAGUCGAGCGAGCGGCGGACGGGUGAGUAAUGUAUGGGGAUCUGCCUGAUGGAGGGGGAUAACUACUGGAAACGGUCGCUAAUACCGCAUACCAUCAGAUGAACCCAUAUGGGAUUAGCUAGUAGGUGGGGUAACGGCUCACCUAGGCGACGAUCCCUAGCUGGUCUGAGAGGAUGAUCAGCCACACGGGGACUGAGACACGGCCCAGACUCCUACGGGAGGCAGCAGUGGGGAAUAUUGCACAAUGGGCGCAAGCCUGAUGCAGCCAUGCCGCGUGUAUGAAGAAGGCCUUCGGGUUGUAAAGUACUUUCAGUCGGGAGGCGUUACCCAAAGAAGAAGCACCGGCUAACUCCGUGCCAGCAGCCGCGGUAAGAG
rnacentral:rRNA from 1 species